rnacentral:rRNA from 2 species
UGCAGUCGACGAGUUCUGAUUAUUGAAAGGUGCUUGCAUCUUGAUUUAAUUUUGAACGAGUGGCGGACGGGUGAGUAACACGUGGGUAACCUGCCCUUAGGUGGGGGAUAACAUUUGGAAACAGAUGCUAAUACCGCAUAAAUCCAAGAACCGCAUGGUUCUUGGCUGAAAGAUGGCGUAAGCUAUCGCUUUUGGAUGGACCCGCGGCGUAUUAGCUAGUUGGUGAGGUAACGGCUCACCAAGGCAAUGAUACGUAGCCGAACUGAGAGGUUGAUCGGCCACAUUGGGACUGAGACACGGACCAAACUCCUACGGGAGGCAGCAGUAGGGAAUCUUCCACAAUGGACGCAAGUCUGAUGGAGCAACGCCGCGUGAGUGAAGAAGGCUUUCAGGUCGUAAAACUCUGUUGUUGGAGAAGAAUGGUCGGCAGAGUAACUGUUGUCGGCGUGACGGUAUCCAACCAGAAAGCCACGGCUAACUACGUGCCAGCAGCCGCGGUAAUACGUAGGUGGCAAGCGUUAUCCGGAUUUAUU